GCUUAAGAAAUCUGCACUUCUGGCUGGCCCUCCAGUUUCUUAAACUUCAGUAGUGUCGUCCCAUAGUAGGUGGUCCUCAGUGGUGUCAGUUGAGCUUCAGAUGCCAGUUCUCUUGAAGCUUUUGAUGACAGUGUCAUCAGAAAUCAUGUUCUGUGCCUCUAGGACCAAUGGACACAACAGUUCCACUGGCAGCCUUCUAAACUUGCCUCCCGGUGCCAGGGAAUGAUCACAAAUACUGAAAGUCUGUGAUUCUUUGUAUGUAGAAGGCAGCUGCUGACAUGUUCUCAUGAAGCCCAUGCCGCCACAUGAAGCACAUCAUCCAGUUGCUGCUUGCGUUGAAGUUUGUAGUUGGAAUGCCCUGCUUCCUUCUGUUUUCACAACGCGGACGACACCGUGUCAAAGGAAGUUAUGGAAAAGAGACUGAAAGCAGUGCACUGGUACCCCUUGCAGCAAUUGGAUGUUAUAAAUGUGAUUUCCACAUCACACACAUACCAUGACCUGAAGUUUUGGAUGGAAUGGUGAGCAUAUUUAUGCAGUGAGCCAUCUUAAGUGCCGACUGGCAUACUCUAGUGUUCAAAGGCACUGAAUAUAUUCUAAUUAAGACUGCAAGACUGUAAUACAAUCACAGUCAGAAUUCAUCAAUUCAAUAAACAAUACACAUUUGAACAGUGGUCUCCGGUACAAUGGCAUACCGACAAACAGUAGAAUAGGUAGUAGACAGGUAGUAGACUUGUAGGCUUGUAGACCUGUAAACUUGUAUGCCGAUUGGCUAGUA